UCACUGAUCUAAGUUUCACUGUUGUUGCAGUGAAGUAGAGAGAGAAGUGAGCUUUCGAUUUCCAUGGUGGAUGUACCUGGAAUGCUGUGAACUUGAAUGGGGAGACGGUCUGCAAUAUCCCAUCCUUGAACCACCUCUCAGGUUUGCAGGCCAUGGAAUGGGAUCGAUCACCUGAGGAACUGCAGGGUACAGUCUGAGAGUCUCUGAGAUGCAUGCAUGGAGGUAAGCCAAUCUUCCCAUGGAAUCAUAGCUGAGGAAGCCAGCAAACUGCGUCAUCCUGUCAUCGAAAGCCUCGACCAGUAGCGCAACACCUUCUUCCUUGGCGCGCUCUUCUUCGAAUGCCCUGACCUCGUCAUGGAGCUUCUCGGCCACACCAGGGUGUGUCAUCACCAUGUAGAUGAACCAUGACAGCGUCGCCGCCGUCGUGUCCCUUCCUGCGAUCACAAAGUUAAGGACCACAUCUCUGAGGCUCUUGUCGUCGCUGAAGAUGCUGCCGUCGUCCUCGCCGAGCUCGAUGAACCUCGACAGCAGAUCAUGCUUCAUCUGUUGCAGAAGCAAGAACAGAGUUCUAGGAUGGCAACCAGAUCAAAGCAGGAGCGUAUCAGGCGCGCCUCUCCUUGCACGCGAAGAAGCCUUUUGAUCCUCCAAAAGGGAUCGAUGAAUCGGUUAGUGACGAUGAUAUUAGCAUCAUCGAAAGCCUGAGCAAAUGCGUUCUCGGGGAGGUCAGCUGCUAGCGUUCCGAUC